CAGUCGCCGCGGUAAUACGAGGGGUGCAAGCGUUAUUCGGAUUGAUUGGGUGUAAGGGGUGUGCAGACGGCUUAUUAAGUCACUUGUUAAAUUCUUCGGCCUAACUGAAGGUCUGCAAGUGAUACUGAUGAGCUAGAGGGUGGAAGAGAGAAGUGGAAUUCUCGGAGUAGCGGUAAAAUGCGUAGAUCUCGAGAGGAACACCAAUGGCGAAGGCAGCUUCUUGGUCCAUUCCUGACGUUCAUACACGAAAGCGUGGGGAGCAAACAGGAUUAGAUACCCCUGUAGUCCCUGUCUCUUAUAC
rnacentral:rRNA from 1 species